UCAGUCGACUCCUACGGGGAGGCAGCAGUCGGGGGAAUAUUGGACAAUGGGGGGGAACCCUGAUCCAGCCAUGCCGCGUGUGUGAAGAAGGCCUUAUGGUUGUAAAGCACUUUAAGCGAGGAGGAGGCGUACUGAGACUAAUACUCUUGGAUAGUGGACGUUACUCGCAGAUAAGCACCGGCUAACUCUGUGCCAGCAGCCGCGGUAAUACAGAGGGUGCGAGCGUUAAUCGGAUUUACUGGGCGUAAAGCGUGCGUAGGCGGCGUUUUAAGUUCGGAUGUGAAAUCCCCGAGCUUAACUUGGGAAUUGCAUUCGAUACUGGGAAGCUAGAGUAUGGGAGAGGAUGGUAGAAUUCCAGGUGUAGCGGUGAAAUGCGUAGAGAUCUGGAGGAAUACCGAUGGCGAAGGCAGCCAUCUGGCCUAAUACUGACGCUGAGGUACGAAAGCAUGGGGAGCAAACAGGAUUAGAUACCCCUGGUAG
rnacentral:rRNA from 1 species